GUGGGGAAUAUUGGACAAUGGGCGAAAGCCUGAUCCAGCCAUGCCGCGUGUGUGAAGAAGGUCUUCGGAUUGUAAAGCACUUUAAGUUGGGAGGAAGGGCAGUAAGUUAAUACCUUGCUGUUUUGACGUUACCGACAGAAUAAGCACCGGCUAACUUCGUGCCAGCAGCCGCGGUAAUACGAAGGGUGCAAGCGUUAAUCGGAAUUACUGGGCGUAAAGCGCGCGUAGGUGGUUCAGCAAGUUGGAGGUGACAUCCCCGGGCUCAACAUAGGAACUGCCUCCAAAACUACUGAGCUAGAGUACGGUAGAGGGUAGUGGAAUUUCCUGUGUAGCGGUGAAAUGCGUAGAUAUAGGAAGGAACACCAGUGGCGAAGGCGACUACCUGGACUGAUACUGACACUGAGGUGCGAAAGCGUGGGGAGCAAACAGGAUUAGAUACCCCAGUAGUCC
rnacentral:rRNA from 1 species